rnacentral:rRNA from 1 species
AACGAACGCUGGCGGCAUGCCUAACACAUGCAAGUCGAACGAGACCUUCGGGUCUAGUGGCGCACGGGUGCGUAACGCGUGGGAAUCUGCCCUUGGGUUCGGAAUAACAGUUGGAAACGACUGCUAAUACCGGAUGAUGACGUAAGUCCAAAGAUUUAUCGCCCAAGGAUGAGCCCGCGUAGGAUUAGCUAGUUGGUGAGGUAAAGGCUCACCAAGGCGACGAUCCUUAGCUGGUCUGAGAGGAUGAUCAGCCACACUGGGACUGAGACACGGCCCAGACUCCUACGGGAGGCAGCAGUGGGGAAUAUUGGACAAUGGGCGAAAGCCUGAUCCAGCAAUGCCGCGCGAGUGAUGAAGGCCUUAGGGUUGUAAAGCUCUUUUACCCGGGAUGAUAAUGACAGUACCGGGAGAAUAAGCUCCGGCUAACUCCGUG